AAUAUACAGUUACAAUUUUACCAUAUCUCUAUUCUAUUUUGAAAUUAAAAUAAAAUUAGAUAAGUUUACGUAAUUCUCAAUUAAAUUUCAUAUGUCUCUAACUAUUUUAGGUUGGACUUGUCAUUCUUUUUAUAUCAGAGCAGAGACUCAACAAUGCUACAGUUUAUGGAGGUCCGACAAAGCAAAGGCGCCAAGACACAUCAACAAAAAAAAAAUUUUAUUGGAGUUUGUGUUUGAGAACCACAAUUUAAUACCCUGGCCGGUAACUUUAAUGGUGGUACAAAAAAAAACUACUGCCAAACAAAGAAUUGUUGCUUACCGCUGUCAAGAAAGCGUGACGCGAAUGAUUUUCAAACAAAUUUGGUAGGCAAGGUAAGUUUGUAAAGUCAGACAUUAUUAAGUAAAUUUUGGUAGCGUUAUACAUAAAAUAUGUAGAGCCGGAUUGCGACGACAGCAUUAAUAUUACAUAUAAUAAGCCAUCAGGUUGGAUAAAUGCUGACAAAUGGAGAGGUCAACUGUGUCAUAUGGCAAGAGUGCGGAAUAGUGACCGGUAAGAGCUAGUUACUUUGACAAUGACAGAAUCCAAAACACAUACAUCUAGCUAUGACAAAGAUUUACUGUGGACUGUAUAAAGUCAACUAACAAGCGGAGAUACUGGCAGCCAGCUGGAUUUCAUUGUUUAGCAUAGAGCGUAUUGAUGGGUAAGUGUAAAUGUACACGCAGAUUUGCCUCGUAGGUAGCUGGUCAGGACCGGAUAGACGUCAGCAGGUAUUUACAUAUAUGAUUAAAAAUUACUUGAAGCAACGGUUAAAGCGUGGACUGGGCACGUAGACACGUGAGCAGCUUUAGGCCUGGACAGUCAUUAAAUUCACACCAUCACUAGGCAGCAGCAGCCCUUUAGAUCUUCUUAUUAAAACAACACUUGGAAAAUAUUUCUUGGUUUCUUUAGUUGGUGCAACUGUCAAUUUGGCACGGAAUAUAUAGUAUCGACUGAGAAACUCUUGUUAUAGCCUCUGCCCAGUGGCUUAAGAAAUGUCACAUUUUCAAAUUUCACAUAUUGGUGUCCCAUUGGUUGUCGGUAACAUAAUGCGACCUCGAAGUAAGGGCUGUAUUUUACAUAUUCUUUACGACAUUUCGUCAUGUUUAGAUUCUAAAUUUGUUGUGGGAUUAGUACCAUUUAAAUUUUUUUUUUUAAGAUGCUGCUUGCACUCGUUGAUAUAUCAGCUGUUUUUGCGUUUGAUACUUUCACAUUUUUCCCAACAUCGAUAGAAAUCUCGAUUAAUCAUCGCAAAAAACACGAAAUUUUCGGGGCAAAAAUACACCUUUUUCAAAAAUGUGACAUUUUUACACAUUUUUCAAAUAUGUGACAUUUUUUCAAAAAUGUGACAUUUUCAGAAAUGUGUUUAGUGGACAGAGGUUAGAAUAAAUGGCAAGACCUAGAUGUGAAAUAGUUUGUCCUGACUAACUUACGAAAUGAUUACCAUACAAGGUUUAUUUUCCGAUAGCUUCCCCAUCGAGAGCAUUCCAUUAGUUUUUUUUAUCGAUAGUUCGACUGCCAUUCAAUCAGAAAAAUGUAUGCAUCUCUUUUUUAGUUAUUUUCAGUCGCGCUACUGAGGCCGGAGAUUACUAUUAAAAGUUAACAACUUGUAAGUGUCAAUUAUUCCUAGAGUUCUCGAUUGCUCUCCUAUAACACAAUAUAACAAUAUACAUAUGGACUUUUAUAUUGUUUCCGCCUAAACAAAUAAUAGUAUCGGUAACGCUUACUACGCAGAUAUAUAUGGCGACCCAUCUUGGUCAUUGUGAAAUUAAAAUAAAGUAAGUUUACGAGUUCGUAAAGUCUAACUCCGCCGCUGAAAGUGCUCAGGCUGCCAAUGUUGCUUUAGCCGUCCCUUUGAGUGCUGGGCUUUUGCUACUUGGAAAACGCCAACAUUUUCUUCUGCUGGUUGGACUUGUCAUUCUUUUUAUAUCAGAGCAGAGACUCAACAAUGCUACAGUUUAUGGAGGUCCGACAAAGCAAAGGCGCCAAGACACAUCAACAAAAAAAAAAUUUUAUUGGAGUUUGUGUUUGAGAACCACAAUUUAAUACCCUGGCCGGUAACUUUAAUGGUGGUACAAAAAAAAACUACUGCCAAACAAAGAAUUGUUGCUUACCGCUGUCAAGAAAGCGUGACGCGAAUGAUUUUCAAACAAAUUUGGUAGGCAAGGUAAGUUUGUAAAGUCAGACAUUAUUAAGUAAAUUUUGGUAGCGUUAUACAUAAAAUAUGUAGAGCCGGAUUGCGACGACAGCAUUAAUAUUACAUAUAAUAAGCCAUCAGGUUGGAUAAAUGCUGACAAAUGGAGAGGUCAACUGUGUCAUAUGGCAAGAGUGCGGAAUAGUGACCGGUAAGAGCUAGUUACUUUGACAAUGACAGAAUCCAAAACACAUACAUCUAGCUAUGACAAAGAUUUACUGUGGACUGUAUAAAGUCAACUAACAAGCGGAGAUACUGGCAGCCAGCUGGAUUUCAUUGUUUAGCAUAGAGCGUAUUGAUGGGUAAGUGUAAAUGUACACGCAGAUUUGCCUCGUAGGUAGCUGGUCAGGACCGGAUAGACGUCAGCAGGUAUUUACAUAUAUGAUUAAAAAUUACUUGAAGCAACGGUUAAAGCGUGGACUGGGCACGUAGACACGUGAGCAGCUUUAGGCCUGGACAGUCAUUAAAUUCACACCAUCACUAGGCAGCAGCAGCCCUUUAGAUCUUCUUAUUAAAACAACACUUGGAAAAUAUUUCUUGGUUUCUUUAGUUGGUGCAACUGUCAAUUUGGCACGGAAUAUAUAGUAUCGACUGAGAAACUCUUGUUAUAGCCUCUGCCCAGUGGCUUAAGAAAUGUCACAUUUUCAAAUUUCACAUAUUGGUGUCCCAUUGGUUGUCGGUAACAUAAUGCGACCUCGAAGUAAGGGCUGUAUUUUACAUAUUCUUUACGACAUUUCGUCAUGUUUAGAUUCUAAAUUUGUUGUGGGAUUAGUACCAUUUAAAUUUUUUUUUUAAAGAUGCUGCUUGCACUCGUUGAUAUAUCAGCUGUUUUUGCGUUUGAUACUUUCACAUUUUUCCCAACAUCGAUAGAAAUCUCGAUUAAUCAUCGCAAAAAACACGAAAUUUUCGGGGCAAAAAUACACCUUUUUCAAAAAUGUGACAUUUUUACACAUUUUUCAAAUAUGUGACAUUUUUUCAAAAAUGUGACAUUUUCAGAAAUGUGUUUAGUGGACAGAGGUUAGAAUAAAUGGCAAGACCUAGAUGUGAAAUAGUUUGUCCUGACUAACUUACGAAAUGAUUACCAUACAAGGUUUAUUUUCCGAUAGCUUCCCCAUCGAGAGCAUUCCAUUAGUUUUUUUUAUCGAUAGUUCGACUGCCAUUCAAUCAGAAAAAUGUAUGCAUCUCUUUUUUAGUUAUUUUCAGUCGCGCUACUGAGGCCGGAGAUUACUAUUAAAAGUUAACAACUUGUAAGUGUCAAUUAUUCCUAGAGUUCUCGAUUGCUCUCCUAUAACACAAUAUAACAAUAUACAUAUGGACUUUUAUAUUGUUUCCGCCUAAACAAAUAAUAGUAUCGGUAACGCUUACUACGCAGAUAUAUAUGGCGACCCAUCUUGGUCAUUGUGAAAUUAAAAUAAAGUAAGUUUACGAGUUCGUAAAGUCUAACUCCGCCGCUGAAAGUGCUCAGGCUGCCAAUGUUGCUUUAGCCGUCCCUUUGAGUGCUGGGCUUUUGCUACUUGGAAAACGCCAACAUUUUCUUCUGCUGGAAAUGCCCAAGCAAUUACAACGAGGACGAAUAUAUAUGACCAAACGCCUUGAAUAAAAUGUCAGCACCCGCUACGAUCAGAUGAUUCACUUCUUUGCUGGGAUACCCGUA